rnacentral:rRNA from 1 species
UACGGGGGGGGCAAGCGUUGUUCGGAAUUACUGGGCGUAAAGGGCUCGUAGGCGGCCAACUAAGUCAGACGUGAAAUCCCUCGGCUUAACCGGGGAACUGCGUCUGAUACUGGAUGGCUUGAAUCCGGGAGAGGGAUGCGGAAUUCCAGGUGUAGCGGUGAAAUGCGUAGAUAUCUGGAGGAACACCGGUGGCGAAGGCGGCAUCCUGGACCGGCAUUGACGCUGAGGAGCGAAAGCUAGGGGAGCAAACAGG